rnacentral:rRNA from 1 species
GUGCCAGCAGCCGCGGUAAUACGUAGGUGGCAAGCGUUGUCCGGAUUUAUUGGGCGUAAAGCGAGCGCAGGCGGUUUCUUAAGUCUGAUGUGAAAGCCCCCGGCUCAACCGGGGAGGGUCAUUGGAAACUGGGAGACUUGAGUGCAGAAGAGGAGAGUGGAAUUCCAUGUGUAGCGGUGAAAUGCGUAGAUAUAUGGAGGAACACCAGUGGCGAAGGCGGCUCUCUGGUCUGUAACUGACGCUGAGGCUCGAAAGCGUGGGGAGCGAACAGGAUUAGAUACCCUGGUAGUCCACGCCGUAAACGAUGAGUGCUAAGUGUUGGAGGGUUUCCGCCCUUCAGUGCUGCAGCAAACGCAUUAAGCACUCCGCCUGGGGAGUACGACCGCAAGGUUGAAACUCAAAGGAAUUGACGGGGGCCCGCACAAGCGGUGGAGCAUGUGGUUUAAUUCGAAGCAACGCGAAGAACCUUACCAGGUCUUGACAUCCUUUGACCACUCUGGAGAUAGAGCUUCCCCUUCGGGGGCAAAGUGACAGGUGGUGCAUGGUUGUCGUCAGCUCGUGUCGUGAGAUGUUGGGUUAAGUCCCGCAACGAGCGCAACCCUUAUUGUUAGUUGCCAUCAUUUAGUUGGGCACUCUAGCGAGACUGCCGGUGACAAACCGGAGGAAGGUGGGGAUGACGUCAAAUCAUCAUGCCCC